rnacentral:rRNA from 1 species
UGGGGAAUAUUGGACAAUGGGCGAAAGCCUGAUCCAGCCAUGCCGCGUGUGUGAAGAAGGUCUUCGGAUUGUAAAGCACUUUAAGUUGGGAGGAAGGGCAGUAAGCGAAUACCUUGCUGUUUUGACGUUACCGACAGAAUAAGCACCGGCUAACUCUGUGCCAGCAGCCGCGGUAAUACAGAGGGUGCAAGCGUUAAUCGGAAUUACUGGGCUUAAAGCGCGCGUAGGUGGUUCGUUAAGUUGAAUGUGAAAGCCCCGGGCUCAACCUGGGAACUGCAUCCAAAACUGGCGAGCUAGAGUAGGGCAGAGGGUGGUGGAAUUUCCUGUGUAGCGGUGAAAUGCGUAGAUAUAGGAAGGAACACCAUUGGCGAAGGCGACCACCUGGGCUCAUACUGACACUGAGGUGCGAAAGCGUGGGGAGCAAACAGG